AACCAUAAAAUCCCCCAAUAAUUACCCUUUCGUUAUCUUCCUCUUCCUCCAACCAACUAAAAUGACCUCAAUCUUAUAACUCAUCCCCCCACCACCUACGUCAGAAUGUACAACAACCAAUCGCCAACAUAGCCACUUCCAAACUUCAACUUCAUCACUGGCGUAUCAUAAUACACUACAACAAAAGGUCCAUUACCAACAAAAUGAUUUUCUCUCCUCUCCAAACGACCUUAUUCAGUGUUAACAACUUGCCCGACAAACAAUAUGUCGUCACCUGAUCGUAAGCGACAAACUUAUGUCGUUGAAAGUGUCCUCUGACAAAAAUUUUAUUUCGCCGUUUAAUAAAACUUUCUAGCAAUAAAGAUCAUGUCCUUGUCGAAUAUAAUAGUUUAGCGGUAAAAUAUUUCAUAACCCACAUAAUAUAAUUUCCUCGCCUUAGGUCACGUUUCGUCACUAAAUAAUUUAAAAUUUUAUUAAUUAUUUUUUUUGUAAAAUAAUAGGUGACAAAAAUUUCGUCACUAAAGGCAGUUUGCAGAAGCAAAAGACGACGAAAUAUUUCCUCGCUAAAGAUCUUCUCACGCCAUAAAUGCCUAGAAUUCGCCAUGGGCCUUACUCUCGUGAUCUGAUUAGUUCAGCUUUUAAGCUCCUAUGCAUAGAUAGACUUGGGGAAAAGAUCAAAUUGAUUUCGUAACCAUAGCCACGUAUUUUUGUGAAAUACUAUUUAGAAAAAUGAAUGAUAAGUGUAAGUUUGAAUGUUGACCGUCCUAUUUUUUUAGACAAUUCUAAUGAAAUUAUAUGGCUAUAAUUAUUAAGUCAACUUAAUUUUUGCUUUUUUGUAUGGAUGAUCUAUGUUCAUAGAUUUAAAAAAUGAACUCAUUAUAUUAUUGAAGAUGGACUCUGGUGAGUCCCAUGAAACCGAAACAUGUGGUAUGAUGCAAUCCACAUACAAGUCAUUUAUUUUCCGUUUAUAUUUAUAUUAAUUUUUAAAUUUUUGGGUGUAUUUUUUAAUUUAGGGAUGGGCAUUCUAGGAGUCGAGCUCGCACUACAUACUUAGAGGCUUUUGGUCUGCCCAAGUCAGGACUAGCUGGAUAUGGCCAAAUAUAGAAUUGCCAACUCUAGUCCUAAAAACUUUUAUAUUCCCAAGCCCACCCAUUAAAUUCACUUGUUCAAACUCUUAAAUGUUAAAUAUAUUUAACCAUUUAUAUUAUAUUAAUUCUAAUUUUCUUUUUAAACUUAAGUAUAUCUUCGUAUUUUGUACUACUUUUAGGAAAACCUAAAGAACCAAAUGCUUCAUUGAAAUUUUGCUAUUAUCUCUGUACAAACCACAUAAUUCCCCUUUCACUUAAUAAAAGUAUGGUUUUAAUUAAAAUAAAAUUAUUUUUUAUAUUUAAAAUAAAUUCCCCUUUCAUAACACGAUUUUACAAUUAGUAUAUUUUUUAUAUGAAAUGAUAUGAUAAAUUUGUACCUAAUUAUUUUAAAUUAAAAAAUCCUUUAAAGAGAGUAUUAUUUUAAUUUCUGAUAUGAGGCAAUCAUAGAAAAUAUGAAGAAAAAAAAAAAGUGUGUUAAACAAACACCCAUAUCAUUGUAAAACAAACAAGUACAUAUGAGAUCGCCAAGAUAGUAUCCGACUUAGUCCGAUUGGAUUUGUUUAUCCAACUGAAAUCCGACUGGAUUUCUAAUCCGUCAAAUUCAAUCUCCAAAACAAACAUGUCCCUCGUUGAAUUCGCACUACAUACUUAGAGGCUUUUGGUCUGCCCAAGUCAGGACUAGCUGGAUAUGGCCAAAUAUAGAAUUGCCAACUCUAGUCCUAAAAACUUUUAUAUUCCAAGCACACCCAUUAAAUUCACUUAUUCAAACUUUUAAAUGUUAAAUAUAUUUAACCAUUUACAUUAUAUUAAUUCUAAUUUUCUCUUUAAACUUGAGUAUAUCUUCGUAUUUUGUACUACUUUUAGGAAAACCUAAAGAACCAAAUGCUUCAUUGAAAUUUUGCUAUUAUCUUGUUACAAAACACAUAAUUCCCCUUACUUAAAUAAAACGUGUAUGGUUUUUAAUUAAAUAAAAAUUAUUUUUUAUAUUUAAAAUAAAUUCCCUUUAUCAACACGGAUUUUACAAUUAGUAUAUUUUGUAUAUGAAAUGAUAGAUAAUGGUUACCUAUUAUUUUAAAUUAAAAAAUCUUAAAGAGAGUAUUAUUUUAAAAAUGAUGAUAUGAGGGCAAUCAUAGAAAAUAUUGAAGAAACAAAAAGUGUUUACACCCAACACCCAUAUCCAUGUAAAACAAACAAGUACAUAUGUGAGAUUUACAAGAUAGUACAUCCGACUAUAGUCCGUUGUAUUCGGUUAUCCAACCUUAAUCCGACUUGGAUUUCUAAUCAGUCAAAUCAAUCUCCAAAACAAACAUGUCCCUGUUGAAUUCGCCACACUACCAUACUUAGAGGAUUUUGGUUCUGCCCAAGUCAGGACUAGCUGGAUAUGGCCAAAAUAUAGAAUUUGCCAAACUCUA
rnacentral:lncRNA from 1 species